GAUGAACGCUGGCGGCGUGCCUAAUACAUGCAAGUCGAGCGAACGGACGAGAAGCUUGCUUCUCUGAUGUUAGCGGCGGACGGGUGAGUAACACGUGGAUAACCUACCUAUAAGACUGGGAUAACUUCGGGAAACCGGAGCUAAUACCGGAUAUAUUAUGAACCGCAUGGUUCAAAAGUGAAAGACGGUCUUGCUGUCACUUAUAGAUGGAUCCGCGCUGCAUUAGCUAGUUGGUAAGGUAACGGCUUACCAAGGCAACGAUGCAUAGCCGACCUGAGAGGGUGAUCGGCCACACUGGAUCUGAGACACGGUCCAGACUCCUACGGGAGGCAGCAGUAGGGAAUCUUCCGCAAUGGGCGAAAGCCUGACGGAGCAACGCCGCGUGAGUGAUGAAGGUCUUCGGAUCGUAAAACUCUGUUAUUAGGGAAGAACAUAUGUGUAAGUAACUGUGCACAUCUUGACGGUACCUAAUCAGAAAGCCACGGCUAACUACGUG
rnacentral:rRNA from 1 species